rnacentral:rRNA from 1 species
UACGUAGGGUGCGAGCGUUGUCCGGAAUUAUUGGGCGUAAAGAGAUCGUAGGCGGUCUGUCGCGUCGAUCGUGAAAACUUGGGGCUUAACCCUGAGCUUGCGGUCGAUACGGGCAGACUGGAGUACUGCAGGGGAGACUGGAAUUCCUGGUGUAGCGGUGGAAUGCGCAGAUAUCAGGAAGAACACCCGUGGCUAAGGCGGUUCUCUAGUACGGUACUGACGCUGAGACGCGAAAGCGUGGGGAGCGAACAGG